UACGGAGGAUCCGAGCGUUAUCCGGAUUUAUUGGGUUUAAAGGGUGCGUAGGUGGAUUGGUAAGUCAGUGGUGAAAUUUUGCAGCUUAACUGUAAAAGUGCCGUUGAUACUGUGAGGCUAGGAUUUGGUUGCUGUGGGUGGAAUGUGUGGUGUAGCGGUGAAAUGCUUAGAGAUCACACAGAAUAUCGAUUGCGAAGGCAGCUCACAAAGCCAAGAUUGACGCUGAGGCACGAAAGUGUGGGGAUCAAACAGGAUUA
rnacentral:rRNA from 1 species